AAAAAAUUUAAAAAGAACAGAAAAAAAGGAAAACAAUGAGAUACAGAGUCAAGUCAGAAUAAGUCAUUUAAAUAAAUAAUAAUGCUACAAAUCAGAAAAAAAUUAAAGGUAUGUUAAUUAUUAGUCUCAGAGAGCAGUACCUACAACCUAAAGAAUCAAUACUGAGGGAUUUUUCAAGAGAAACCACCACCGCUACGGGGGCGGGGGAGGGGGCGUGGAGGUGGUUUAUACCAACAGACAAUCCGGGGAAAGGCCAGUGGCCGCCGCUUCCCAGUUGAGGCACCCGCCCGCCCGCGGGGUGCGCGCAAAGCCUCCCAUCACGCCUGCGCUGGGCUCGGACGCGGGCUCGCCUUUCCCCGACGCCCGGCCGUCCAGGACGGGGUGAAAAACUGCGUGACACGCAACGAGCGUGGCGGCCAUCUUCGUCUUCUGGGCAUGUCAGCUGAGCCGGUUUGAGCAGAAGAGGAGCGUUGCGCAAGCGCGCCCAAGACGGUCCCAGGUAACUCCCAUCUGACGGGCGAGGCGUCGCCGUCGUCGCCGGAAGUUUGCCGUUUCUGCGCCGCGGGAGAGGCGGCGGUGGCGGCAGAAGCAGCUGAGCGUCCCUGGGUACCCGGAUGUGAGGCGGUCUACGGGCUCGCGUCGGACUCUCUGCCAGGAGUGAGGAAGGUACGCGAGCUUCCCCACCGGCUCCGCCGCCCGCUGUCGCGCCCCCGGCGUCCUCGCAGCGCUGCUGCCAGCCCCUCCGGCGAGCCGGACGCUUCUCCCCCUUCCUGUCCCACCCUCUGGGUCGUUGCCUCGCACGCCUCUUCCUACUCCUCGGGUCUCAGUUCUCGGCGCCCCUGGUAGAGAGUGGGCGGCUCGGAGAACGCGGUCGCCCGAGGCAGGCAGGCAGCCUGCCCGUGUCGGUUGCCUAGUCGCCGCAUCACCUGCCACAUCCCGCUAGGCGGUCACAGAAAUAUUUAAGGUUAAUAGCCAAAUACAAAGGAAGUUAAUAGGAAGCAUCAUUCAUUAGACGCAUCAUCCAUCAACCUGAAGAAAAAAGUUACAUGUAAUUUUCAUUUCAGUAAGGUGCUGUGAAAUGUGUUAAAAGGAAAUUAUAAGGAAUGAUUUUGUCAAAUUUUUAUGAGUUAUGGUGGCUGAAAGAUCAAUUCAGUCUUGGGGGAAAGGAACUAAAUGCCAGCACAAAAGGAAAUCUCUAUUAAUAGAGUAUUUUAUUAAACGGGAGUGGUUAGAUAAGAAUUUUAAGCCAACAGACUUAGCAAACAAGGAGAGAAACGUGUUAGCUGUAAGACAUGUUUCCAGUGAAUCAAAGUCCAGUAACUGUAGACUUCAGAAGAAAAAAGUUUUCAAAAACUUUUUCAAAACAGACAAGUCAGUGAUAAAUAACUCCUUCAGUAAUAGGGCUAGGCCUGAAAACUAAUAUUAAUUGAAAAUUUAACAAAACAAAUCAAAUUUGAGUGAAACAUUUUUCAUAAAAAGUUCUAAAAAUAGAACUAAUUUAAAUUAGAUUUAAAAUUUCCACAAAUUUCUAUUACCUUGUCCAAAAUAAGGCAAAUAUAUUUUAGCCUUCAUGCCAGCUUUUCUCAUGUCAUAAGGAUGACAGAAAUCUUAGCAAACUAGUAUUUUUUGUUGAAAAAGUAUAUCAGUAUCAGCUAAAAUUGAUUUUUAAGACCUGCUCUUCAGUAGUAACAGUAGACAUUCAGCAUUUACACCUACUGGAACACAAAAAUUUCAAAAAUUACUCAGAAAAAGAGGACCGUACUCAGGAAUGAUGUCCAUUCAGGAGAAAUCAAAAGAAAAUUCCUCUAGUGCUAUUACAAAGAGUGAAGAUAAGAAUCUAGAAACACAAAUUCAAGAUUCUCAAAAGACUCCAGCAAAAAAACCAGGUCCAAAGGAAGCUGUAAAAUCACUGGUUAAUUCUUCCAAUAAAAGUAGAACAAAUCAGUCUGAAUUAGGAACAUGUAUGAGUACAAGGUCAGCAUCCAGUGAUAAAAAACCUGGUAAAUCAAUUAAUAAAAAUAUGGUGACUGUAAAGGGACAUUCACAACAAGAAUCUAUAAAAAAGAAAUUGUCUCAGAAAAAAUCAGUGCAUGAAACCCCUAAAUCACAUGAACAGCUUAAUAGGAGAUCACAAAGACUACAACAGUUAACAGAGGUUUCAACAAGGUCUCUGCGUAGUAGAGAAAUUCAUGGUCAAGUUCAAGCAGCUAAACAAAGUUUGCCAUCAACAAGGAAAGAGCACUGUAGCAAUACUCAAAGUAAAUCUAAUAAAGUUAAAACAAAUCAGAAACAUGUGAAAAGAAAAGUACUGGAAAUAAACUCGGAUUCUAAAGAGGAUGAAAAUUCUGUAAUGAAUGAAGUAAUAAAUUCCCCCAAAGGAAAAAAACGCAAAAUAGAGCCUCAGACAGCUUAUACUUGUAGUUCUCAGUGCAUAAAAGAAUCUGAAAAGUGUCUUCAGAAGAAUACUAGAAAAGAGGAAACAAAAUCUGUGCCUGUAACAACUUCUGAGAUAAAAAGAUCAAAAAAGGCUACUUCAGUGGUAUCUAAAAAGAAUGAGAUGAAGAAGUCAGUUCAUACACAAGUGAAUACUAGUGCAAAACCCCAAAAAAGUCCACAGCCGUCAGUGCCUGAACAAAGUGUAGAUAAUGAGCUGGAGCAAGCAGGAAAGAGCAAACGAGGGAGCAUUCUCCAGCUCUGUGAAGAAAUUGCUGGUGAAAUUGAGUCAGAUACUGUAGAGGUAAAAAAAGAAUCUUCGCAAAUGGAAAAUAUAAAGGAGGAGAAGCCUACAGAAAUAAAAUUGGAAGAGACCGAUACAGAAAGACAGAUACUUCAUCAGAAGGAAACAAAUCAGGAUGUUCAGUGUAAUCGUUUCUUCCCCAGUAGAAAAACAAGGCCUGUGAAAUGUAUACUAAAUGGAAUAAACAGCUCAACUAAAAAGAACUCGAACUGGACUAAAAUUAAGCUCUCAAAAUUUAAUUCUGCACAGCAGAAUAAAUUAGACACUCAAGUUUCCCCUAAAUUGGGCUUAUUACGAACCAAUUUUUCACUACCACCGUUAGAAAUGCAUCAUCCAGUGACUCAGAGUACAUUUUUAGGGUCAAAAUCAUAUGAUGAUAAAAAGAAAGCUUGCCAGCAGGAAGAAAUGAAAGAAAUUAAUUCUGAGGAAGUUAAUGAUAUUACGGUUGAAAUUAAUAAAACCACAAAAAGGGCUCCUGAAAAUUGUCAUUUGGAUAAUCAGAUAAAGCCACCUCCUGACCAACCGCUGGAUAACCAGAAGAAAGAUUCUUUUGAAUCAACCCCAGAUAAGAAUUGCAGCCUAUGUUUGGAAUCCAACCUUGGAAAUAAUCCAGUGGAAAAUACUAGUUCUGUUUCAACUCUGCUCAGUCAAGCAAAUGUUGAUACAGGGGAGAAUAAAUUUCCAGGUUCAGCUCCCAAACAGCACAGUAUAUUCAAUAACCAAACAUCUAAGACCAGUGAUAACAGGGGGACACCGCCAAAUCAUUCUUGGCCUAAGUGUAAUUCCCAUUUGGAGAUAAGAAUUCCUAGAGACUUGAAACUAAAAGAAGCAGAGAAAGCUGAUGAAAAACAGUUGAUCAUCGAUGCAGGACAAAAAAGAUUUGGAGCAGUUUCUUGUAAUGUUUGUGGCAUGCUUUAUACAGCUUCAAAUCCAGAAGAUGAAACACAGCAUCUGCUUUUCCACAACCAGUUUAUAAGUGCUGUCAAAUAUGUGGUUCUGCUCAUUAAUCACCACGAGUGUGGAUCUGAAGAAGAGUUUAUUACCCCUCUUUUUUUGAGUAUGUUUAACUUCAGAUACACACAACGUAGCCUCUCCUUCCCUAUUAGAUUCUUAGAAGGGAUGGAAAAAGGAAAGAAUACUGGCUGAAUAUCCAGACGGCAGGAUAAUAAUGGUUCUUCCUGAAGACCCAAAGUAUGCCCUGAAAAAGGUGGACGAGAUUAGAGAGAUGGUUGAUAAUGAUUUAGGUUUCCAGCAGGCUCCACUGAUGUGCUAUUCCAGAACGAAAACACUUCUCUUUAUUUCUAAUGACAAAAAAGUAGUUGGUUGCCUAAUAGCAGAACAUAUCCAAUGGGGCUACAGAGUUAUAGAAGAAAAACUUCCAGUUAUCAGGUCAGAAGAAGAAAAAGUCAGAUUUGAAAGGCAAAAAGCCUGGUGCUGCUCAACAUUGCCAGAGCCUGCCAUCUGUGGGAUCAGUCGCAUAUGGGUAUUCAGCAUGAUGCGUCGGAGGAAAAUUGCUUCCCGCAUGAUUGAAUGCCUAAGGAGUAACUUUAUAUAUGGCUCAUAUUUGAGUAAAGAAGAAAUUGCUUUCUCAGAUCCUACUCCAGAUGGAAAACUGUUUGCAACACAGUACUGUGGCACCGGUCAGUUUCUGGUAUAUAAUUUUAUUAAUGGACAAAAUAGCACCUAAAGUAAAUUCAUGCCUACAGUAUCAGAAGACAUCUACUGAAGAGAAUGGAUUGGUUGCUGUCUUUAACCAGGAACUAGGGCCAUUUUUAUUACAAUGAACUCAGGACUGGCAACAACCAUAAGGUUGUUCCAUUUUCAUAAAAUUGGAAAAAAUGCAGUAAUUGCUUAUUGUUGUUUUUGUUUUUUAAAGAAGAUAUUUUAUUAUCUUUUACAGAAAUUUAUGAUUGAUGUAUUUUAUCUAUAGUUAUUUAGACAUGUUUACAUGCAGCAGAUAAUUGUUCAUAGUGGACUGAAAACUUAAUGCAAGGACUAUGGUCUCAGUGAUAAGUAUAUUUUGAAGUUCUUAAUUAUGGAAAUAUACCAGUGUAGCUUGGUACUGUAUUUUUUAUAUUGAUCUGCUGAUACCAGUUAUAGUUGUAAAGAUUGUAUUUUCCCAGAGUGGAAACCAGUGUUUUUGCAUCAUUAAUAAAGGAGGGUAUGAUAUUACAUGUUUAGGAAUUCACAGCUAAUUGUUAAAGGGCCUGAAAUACACUUUAAAGAAAUUCUUACAAAAAAGCAAAGCUCCAUUAGCAAGGAAGAAUUUGAAGUAUUGAGCUUUUUCUUCCAUUUUACUCUUUCCUAUUCUGAUGGCAGCAAGAACUGGAAAGUGGGAAAGAACUGAGGCUUUCCUUUUUGGAGAGCUAUGAAUGACUAGAAUUAGAAUGGGACCCUUUAGUUUAUUAUUCUUUUGUUCUGGUUUUACUUUUUAAAAUAAAUGAAAAUUUGGCACACUUAGGGUGUUAACAAAUCCCAAAGAGGCUGAUAAAAAACCCUGUUGAAUAGUUGCAAGCUAAAUAUGAUUGACUUGGUAUCUGCUUGUUACUCCUCAGAAAUACUACACUGCGUAUAUGUCCUUAUUACUGGACUUCAUUUUGAUACUUGUCUAUCCUUCAUAGUGCCCUCUACUUUUAAAGGGUUUAUAUGUUGAAAAACUGCUGUGGCCUUUUAUGACCUGUAUAUAAUUGUAGAAUAAAAUAAUAAAAUACUUGAUAGCUUUUUCUAAGUGAUAAAUGUGAUAA